CCUACGGGGGGCAGCAGUGGGGAAUAUUGGACAAUGGGGGCAACCCUGAUCCAGCCAUGCCGCGUGUGUGAAGAAGGCCCUCGGGUUGUAAAGCACUUUCAGUGAGGAAAACGCCUGGUGGUUAAUACCCAUCAGGAAAGACAUCACUCACAGAAGAAGCACCGGCUAACUCCGUGCCAGCAGCCGCGGUAAUACGGAGGGUGCGAGCGUUAAUCGGAAUUACUGGGCGUAAAGCGCGCGUAGGUGGCUUGAUAAGCCGGUUGUGAAAGCCCCGGGCUCAACCUGGGAACGGCAUCCGGAACUGUCAAGCUAGAGUGCAGGAGAGGAAGGUAGAAUUCCCGGUGUAGCGGUGAAAUGCGUAGAGAUCGGGAGGAAUACCAGUGGCGAAGGCGGCCUUCUGGACUGACACUGACACUGAGGUGCGAAAGCGUGGGUAGCAAACAGGAUUAGAUACCCUUGUAGUC
rnacentral:rRNA from 1 species